UAACCUGCCCAAGAGAUCGGGAUAACACCUGGAAACAGAUGCUAAUACCGGAUAACAACAGAUGAUGCCUAUCAACUGUUUAAAAGAUGGUUCUGCUAUCACUCUUGGAUGGACCUGCGGUGCAUUAGCUAGUUGGUAGGGUAACGGCCUACCAAGGCGAUGAUGCAUAGCCGAGUUGAGAGACUGAUCGGCCACAUUGGGACUGAGACACGGCCCAAACUCUUACGGGAGGCAGCAGAU
rnacentral:rRNA from 1 species